UUAUGGAGAGUUUGAUCCUGGCUCAGAGUGAACGCUGGCGGCGUGCCUAAUACAUGCAAGUCGAACGAUGAAGUCUCUAGCUUGCUAGAGAUGGAUUAGUGGC
rnacentral:rRNA from 1 species